rnacentral:lncRNA from 1 species
CUUCUUCUUCUUCUUCCUCAUAGUUCCCCCCAUCCCCCACCAUCACCACAACACUUCUUCUAUCUCUUUUCAUACUCUUACACACAAUUCUUUCUCUAUCUCUUCUCAUAUUCUUUCUAUUAUUUGAGAAUUUUAAAAUGAUUAGGGGGAAAAUAUAUUUAUUUAGAUUUGGGUGAAAAAAAAGGGAAAAUAAAAGAAGGUUUUUGAGUGUGAAAUAGAUGCAUAUUUUAAAUGGAUUUAUGAAAAAGAUAUUUUUGAUUCUUUCAAAUUGAACUCAAUUUUAUCUAGAGCAUUUUGGAUGAGUUCUUUCAUAAUGACCCCUUUUCUUGUCUUCUUCUUCUUCUUCUUUUCUUUCUCUCAUCUCUAUUUUAGUCACUUGCUAACACAAUUAAAAUAACAAAAUUUACAAUAAAAUAUCAUAAUAAAACUUUACUUAUCUCUAGUGCCUCUUCAAUGUAAUAGAUUUACCACGAAAGAAAAAAAAUGAUAAGAUAAAAUUUAAAUAGCAAAAUAGAUGAAAGAUAUGGGAGAAAGAAAGACUAGAAAGAAAUGAAGAAAGAAAGGAUUUUGGAGAUGAGUUUGAGAUUUUUUUUAAAAAAAUUAUUAUUUGUAAUAAAAAAAACGAUGUGACAAUUUAUAUUUGAUGUAGAUAGUGAUGUUUUAUCCACAUUAACGUGAUUGAGAGGCACACAUGAUCAGAAGAGUUUAAAAUAAUGUGUUUUAAUUGUUGAAUUUUAUAUAAGAGAUAACAUUAAUAACUUUAACUGUUCAGUUGAUUAAAACUUGAGUUGAAAGGUCUAGGUAGGGGUGUUCGUGGUUCGGUUUGGAUCGGUUAUUGAUUAAAAUCAAAAUCAAACCAAUCUAGUCGGUUUUUUAAAUAUCUAAAACCAAACCAAACCAAACGAAAAAAAUAACUGUCGGUUUGGUUAUUGAUGGUUUGGUUCAGUUUUUCUGGUUUUUUCGGUUUGAAAGUAAUAAAUUUUUGAGGACAUGCGUAUCUUGAUAGACACAAACACCUAGAACAUGAGCAAUCCAUCGAAAAGCUAUUGUCAGUUCAAUUAAGCAAUUAAACAAUACUAAAGUUAUUAUUACACGAACAAAGUGAUUCAAUUAAGAAAAUGUGUAACUAUCUUAUGAAAGGUAUGGUAGGUAAAGACUAAAGUAAUGAAUUUUGAUAGAAUUGGACUUAUGAUUGUAAUAGAUGGACUAAAAUUUAAGUGUUGGGCUUGAGAAAA